UAUCAAUAAGCGGAGGAAAAGAAACCAACAGGGAUUGCCCCAGUAGCGGCGAGCGAAGCGGCAACAGCUCAGAUUUGAAAUCCGGCCCACCGCGGCCCGAGUUGUAAUCUGCAGGGGAUGCUUCUGGCGACGCGCCUUCCGAGUUCCCUGGAACGGGACGCCAUAGAGGGUGAGAGCCCCGUCCGGUCGGACGCCAAGCCUCUGUGAAGCUCCUCCGACGAGUCGAGUAGUUUGGGAAUGCUGCUCAAAGCGGGAGGUGUAUGUCUUCUAAAGCUAAAUACCGGCCAGAGACCGAUAGCGCACAAGUAGAGUGAUCGAAAGAUGAAAAGCACUUUGAAAAGAGGGUUAAACAGUACGUGAAAUUGUUGAAAGGGAAGCGCUCGCGGCCAGACUCGGGCCCGGCGGAUCAUCCGGCGUUCUCGCCGGUGCGCUCCGCCGGGCCCGGGCCAGCAUCGGUCCGCGGCGGGGGACAAAGGCUCCGGGAACGUGGCCCCCACGGGGGUGUUAUAGCCCGCUGCGCAAUGCCCCGCGGCGGACCGAGGUACGCGCCCCGCAAGAAUGCUGGCGUAAUGCCCUCCAGCGACCCGUCUUGAAACACGGACCAAGGAGUCGUCUUCGUAUGCGAGUGUUCGGGUGUCAAACCCCUACGCGCAAUGAAAGUGAACGCUGGUGAGAGCCUCGGCGCAUCACCGACCGAUCCCGAUGUUCUCGGACGGAUUUGAGUAGGAGCAUACGGUGCCGGACCCGAAAGAAGGUGAACUAUGCCUGCGUAGGGUGAAGCCAGAGGAAACUCUGGUGGAGGCUCGCAGCGGUUCUGACGUGCAAAUCGAUCGUCAAACGUGGGCAUGGGGGCGAAAGACUAAUCGAACCUUCUAGUAGCUGGUUUC
rnacentral:rRNA from 1 species